GGGCCCGUAGCCUAGCUGGAUAGGGCGCAGAAGAAGAGCCUGAGGUCGAGGGUUCAAAUCCCCCCGGGCCCGCCA
rnacentral:tRNA from 1 species